AUAUAUAUUUGAUAGUAACAAGUAAACGAGGAGCACAGAUUACUAGUCUCUAUAUACACUCCCCUCAAAGCCAAUGGGAUCUUCAGCAGGACAUGGGAGUCCUUGCUCAACAAGCACUCCCGUUAGAAUUUAGAUCAUGGAAUGGCGGUGAUGAGCUUCCUUGUUUACCACGCGUAGAACAUCAAUAUGUUGAUGUCUUUUUUCAGGUGAACGAGUUUAAGUUCUAUGCACACAAACCUAUUCUGUUCGCUAGAUCAGAAUAUUUUAGGGCAUUAGUAGAGG